ensembl:lncRNA
GAGGCAGAAGAGUGAUGAGGUGAAAGGGAAGUCAAAGAGAUUCCAACCCUUGUGGGCUCUGGAAGAUGCUUAUACUCCGCAGAGGGAAAGAAAACUGAUCCAUGAAGUUGCUAUUUGCAUAAAACACAGAAGCAUCUGUCAUAGACUCCUUUCUGGUUGAGUCUGGCAUCCAGGGAUCACUCAGCUGGUCUGCCUCAGCACUGGGCUCCCAUGAAGGCAAAGGGUCCCCAGUGAGGACUGCAUCCAGGUGCAAGCUUGCUUUGGAAAAUUUUGUUGUACUUUACACAUAACCCAGAUAAAAAGAAACCUACACGGAAUCCUCCUC